CGCCCCUCUCCUCCCCGCUGCCCCCGCAGGACCGCCCCGACGCCGACCACGACGCCGCCGAGCCCGAAGAGAAGCUGCAACCUGCAGAAUGCAAGAAAGGGCUGAUGUGUGUUGCGUCCUCGCCAUUUCUGGACAUCAAGGUUCUUGCCUUCGAUUGUCAGAUCCACCCUCCUCGCGCUGGACGGAAACCCUAGCCGCCCGUCCAUGGCGACCCACCGCAGCACCCAAAGGCCUCGACGACGGCGGUAUGGUAGGAGAAACGGCGACCAGCGACAGCCAUGGCGACCCACCGCAGCCUCCAAGACCUCGACAACGGUCAGUGCUACAGUGAGGUACAGCAACCAGCGACGGGACGAUGCCUAAAUCCACUGGUACAGGAGAGCAGCCAUGGAAUGGAAGGUCCGUUCCACCCGUUCUUCCCCGCUUGAUUGACUCUAUCUAAGAGUUCUUCGGUUUCAAGUGGAUUUUCUUCUGGGCUCCAUAAGUCAAAAUGGAGACCGCCACCACAUGGUUUCCAUCAACCCGGAGUCCAAAUCAAGGGCUGUGAACAGGGAGGUACUCAGUGAGCUAAUCAAGUUGCACGGGAAGACAUUGUGGCUUAUGCGCCUCUGUUUUUUUGGGACUGCCAUUGUGGCUGCUUCUUGUUGGUUGCAAUCAAAAUCAAUGACAAGCUAGCAAGCAAUCAUGCGUGUGUGGCCAUGGCCUUCUUUAGAAUAGGGGUGCCACUGAUCUACUAGAACUGAAUUGCUCCCCUGUUUUGCUGUGGUCGUAUGCUCUGUGGUCACUGAUGCGUGCUGCAUACCUGUAGAUUAGGACCAAAAUUUGAGCAGUUUCAGUCGUGCAGAUUAUAACUGAAUCAUGCCCUGCUUUGUUGUAGUUGUAUGAUCUUACUGCUGAAUUGAUUGUUGUAUUGUUCAAACUAAAGUCUUCCAGUUGGCUUGCUACAAUGUAUUAUAUCACUGUACUUCAGACUUAUUGUAGUAUUUAGGCCUGGGCGCUUUGGAAUUUAGCUGUAGUCUGUCCCUUAAUUUACUCCGCACUUUGCUCUGCUUGGUGAUUGGCCUGCCAUGCUACUCCAUGGUCACUGAUGCGUGCUGUAUAUACAGAUUAGGACCAAAACUGGAGUAGUUAUGACAACAUUUUGAUAUUCCUUUGCUAGCACAUGUCCUUUAUCUCUUAGCAUAUACUAUGAUUAUGACGUGUGGGCUCUUGGAAAAGCCAUCUGUCUGUGUUUCUGUAGUUAUUUGUAUUAAGUGCUCCACAUUUGUUUUUCAACAUGGACAAUCCAUAAUCAGCUUGGUUGUUAUAAGUGUAAUAUAAUUUAUCUUUGCUUAAUUUGUAUCUGAUUCCACUGUUUGAUUCCUCCCUAGAUUUGUGUCUAGUUUAAACAUUACAUGGAAUAUUUUUCAGCAGUCUGGUAGGCAACGAUGAUAUCAAUAUAAGAGGUUAUCUUAGCUUGUUAGUGUGUGCUUAGUGAACUAUAUGAGCUCUCUUUAUUGCAUCUUGUAUGCUCAUACAUUAGCAUGAAAUAGUAUUGCUCAUACAGUACAUGGAAUAUUUAUGAGCAUAGUUUUUGUGCCGUAUCCAUUUCACACCUGGCAUCUGCCAUUGUAACUUCAUGCUGAUGUAACAUGUGAAUCUGUUGGUCCUUCUUAUUGUCUUUAAAGAAGUCAAUGUACCUACCUAUUUUUAUGCUCUGUUAUUAUCUUUGAUCAGUGUCAGUUGUGUCUCUUAGAGAUACACUCCUACCUUUUCUGACUUGAGUUGUUAACUAUUGUUCCAUACUUCUGUUAGUUAUAACAAAAAAUCUUUGAAUUUGGUACUGCAUGAGUUUUUACUACUGCUAAUAGGGAGUAUUUGCUACCACUAAAACAGCGAUUUUGUAUGCACUGCUACCUGAUGAGUGAUGAGUGCUUUCUUGGUAAUAUUUCACCUUGGCAUGCAUACGUUUGUUCGGUUUGAACUUUGCAUGACAUGAUAUAAUUAUUUCCAGUGUUUUUCUCAACUUAUUUUCAUUGCCACUUGAUAUAUAGUUAGCUUGUACUUGAAGCUGUGGGUUAAUGUGGUGAUUUUGUUCUACUUGGAUGCAUUGGUACCCCCAUAAUCGAGUGCAUGGAUGCAAUGGCAAGAAGAUCAUGGCUGUACGCAUCAUCAAGCACACCAUGGAGAUAAUCGACCUCCUCACCGAUGGUGCCUAGUUUGUGAUCGCUAUUGAAGGAGCUCAAUGCUGAAGAACAUAACACUUGUAGAGUUCUGAUGGCUAUCUUGUAUUACACUUGUAGAGCUUGUAACUGUUAUUACACUUGUAGAGUUUUAAUGUCUAUCUUGUAUCACGAGUUAUUUGUACAACUAAGAAGUAUUAUGUGGUCUGUACUGAAACGAGCUUCUAA